CCGGGCUCACAGCGUGCGCACACUCGCGCGCGCACACAUAUACAUACACACACACAGCUUUUCAGCCUAAAAGGAAAUGCUGGAGUUGGAAGAACACUCAUCAUCCAAAGGCUGUGUGAAGCACCAGCGGGCCCUCUUGGUUAAGCUGAGAUACUCUAAAGGAAGUUUGCAGUGGAAGGUUCCUGGCCAAGGAGGAGCAAACGCUUUGAUUUAAAGGGAAUGACAGUGUUUGGGCAUUCGCAACCAUGGAGGUUAUACUCCUGACAGGAACGGUCCCCCAUAGAGGCUGAGUCUACCAUCAUGAUUAACACCUGGCUAUCACAAGAUGACCAUUUUUAAAAUGUGAUCUUCAACAGUUUCAAGCAUGGACAUGAUGGAAUCCCAUCGCACUCACACCCCACCCUCUUUUAUCCUCCUCUGUCUCCCAUGUUGUGCUUGAGAUUCAUGAGAAGAGUCUGCCAUGCUCUCAGGCAUUUGACAGCAGAUCCAUGAGAAGAAUCCGCCAUGCUCUCAGGCAUUUGAUGCCAGAUCCAUGAGAAGAGUCUGCCAUGCUCUCAGGCAUUUGACAGCAGAUCCAUGAGAAGAGUCUGCCAUGCUCUCAGGCAUUUGACGCCAGAUCCAUGAGAAGAGUCUGCCAUGCUCUCAGGCAUUUGAUGCCAGAUCCAUGAGAAGAAUCCACCAUGCUCUCAGGCAUUUGACACUAGGUCCAUGAGAAGAGUCUGCCAUGCUCUCAGGCAUUUGACACUAGGUCCAUGAGAAGAGUCUGCCAUGCUCUCAGGCAUUUGACACUAGGUCCAUGAGAAGAGUCUGCCAUGCUCUCAGGCAUUUGACACUAGGUCCAUGAGAAGAGUCUGCCAUUUGACACCAGCUCCCCAGCUGGUGGUGCUUUGGGGUAGGUUGAAGAAGUGGAGAGUUUCUGGAGGGAAGCCAUUAUCAGGGCACUACUUAGAGACUAAAAGCUUUAAGCCAUUUCCAGCUCACCCCUCUGCUGCCUGCUUACCACCAAGGACAUGAGCUCCCAAUGUCCUGCUCCCAACACCACACCUGCCUCCCCUCCCCUCCACAAUGAACUCGAUUCCUCUGGCACCAUAAUCCAAGAUAAACUCUUCCUUCUAUAAGA